rnacentral:rRNA from 1 species
UAACACGUAGGAGACGAGCGUUAUCCGGAUUUACUGGGUGUAAAGCGCGUGCAGGCGGUCUGUUAAGUUGGAUGUGAAAGCUCCCGGCUAAACUGGGAGAGGUCGUUCAAAACUGGCAGGCUAGAGUGUGGUAGAGGGGAGUGGAAUUCCGAGUGUAGCGGUAAAAUGCAUAGAUAUUCGGAAGAACACCAGUGGCGAAGGCGACUUCCUGGACCACAACUGACGCUCAGACGCGAAAGCCAGGGUAGCAAACGGGAUUAGAGACCCCGGUAGUCCUGGCAGUAAACGAUGUGGACUUGGCGUUGGUGGGAUAAAACCUAUCAGUGCCGAAGCAAACGCGAUAAGUCCUACCACCUGGGGACUACGGCCGCAAGGUUAAAACUCAAAGGAAUUGACGGGGGCCCGCAC